GUCCUGGCUGGGUGGUCUUGCCGAAAGGUAAGCACUGCUCUGGUCGGGUCUUUCCUUCUGGGGAACCAGUGUGCGCUUAAUUGUGUGCGCUGGGGAUCCAGGACUUUUACUUUGAAAAAAUUAGAGUGUUUAAAGCAGGCAUACGCUUGAAUACAUUAGCAUGGAAUAAUAGAAUAGGAC
rnacentral:rRNA from 1 species